GACGAACGCUGGCGGCGUGCUUUACACAUGCAAGUCGAACGAAGUGGCGAACGGGUGAGUAACGCGUAAUCAACCUGCCCUUCAGCGGGGGACAACAGUUGGAAACGACUGCUAAUACCGCAUACUGAAGGACGAGAUUGCGUCUGAUUGGCUAGGUGGAUGGGUAACGGCCCACCAAGGCGAUGAUCAGUAGCCGGUCUGAGAGGAUGAACGGCCACAAUGGGAAUGAGGCAAGGCCCAGACUCCUACGGGAGGCAGCGGUGGGGAAACAGUCGAAAUGGAGGAAAGUCUGACGGAGCACCGCCGCGGGAGUGAUGACGGCCUUCGGGUUGUAAAGCUAUGUUAAUCGGGACGCGGUACCGGAAUAGAAAGCCACGGCUAACUACGUGCCAGCAGCCGCGGUAAUUC
rnacentral:rRNA from 1 species